rnacentral:rRNA from 1 species
AUGUCCAUGGCCCCGCUCAGCUUCCGCCCGACAGCCACCGCGCGCCCGCGGUUCCACUGCGUCGAUGACGGCGCCGACCGGGACGUCAGCUUCCUGCAGGACGUCCACCCCGACGUCGGCGACGCGCUCCUGGGCUUCGUCUACGACCCGCUCGACCCCGCCGUCAACGCCGGCCUCGACGAGUUCCUCAACAUCCCGCCCUACGGCGACGACGACGACGAGGACGGCCAGCAGCGCUGCGCCAAGAAGCCGCGCGCCGGGGGCUUCGAGGAGGACUCGUGGUUCGACUUCACGGCGGCGGACGGAAGCCUCGCCCAGAAGUGGGACAAUGCCUGCACGCAGCAGGUGCCGGAGUUCCUCCCCGAGUUCGUGCUGCCACUGCCCCCGCCCCCGCCUCCGCCGCCGCAGGUGUACCCGCCGUUCGUGCGCGGAGCGGACGCCAAGAAGCUGCAGGCCGCGGGCAACGGGUCCUCGCAGAGCGCCGCGGCGAGGGAGCGCCGGAGAAGGAUCAGCGAGAAGACGGCGGAGCUGUCGCGCCUCAUCCCCGGCGGCCACAAGCUCAACACCGCCGAGAUGCUGCAGGAGGCCGCGCGCCACGUGAAGCUCCUCCAGGCCCAGGUCGGCAUGCUCACCCUCCUGAACAACAUCGAGGACGAGAAGGUGCCGGCCAUGGCGCAGGAACACAUGCACGCGCUGCUCGUGUGCGGCGGCAUGCAGGAGCGGCUGGCCGCCGAGGGCAAGUGCCUGGUGCCGAAGGUGCUGGUGGACACCAUUGCCAAAGACGCCGCCGUCAGAUCGAACGCGCUGGUGAACAGGGACCUCACCCGGUUCACGGAGUCGCUUUUCGCGGAGAAGAAGUAG